CAUGACUAAUUUACUCCCUGGUCAUUCAGACAGAUCAGGCUGUUCCAUGUGAUUAUUUUGGGGAGAGAUAACAUUAUAAAUUUCAUAUGCAGAAUGUGUCUAGAAGGACAUUGCAAUCUUUUUGUACAAAAAUUUGUAAUGAUUUUUAAAAUAUUUAUAUCUAUUAGAUAUUUGAUAUUUUCUUUUACGCUCAAAGAAUGAAAGUUAAAAUGAUGAGUAGAUUAACCCUGCUUUACAUAAUGAUAGACCUGUCCAGUUUUACAGUAACUGUUGUAAGAUUUGAAUUCUAAGAUAUCUGGGUCAGCAAAGAGAGCAGAGGAUGUACUUGAUAUUUUAGCAGUUUUGGAGAUAUUGUUUUGUUUAACAUUUAAAGUGUUUAAGUAUUGGUAUGAUAACAAUCAGAAUCACCUGGGACAAGGAUAUAUACAACAGAAUCAGGCUGGUGCUGACUGUGAGAAAUAGCGGCAGAGUUUAAUAAUGAUGUGCAGUAUUAAUCCUGAAAAGGUCAGCACAACCAUAAGAAGUUCUAGGAAACACAGGCAGAGGACUAAAAAUGGACACCGAUAAAAGAAAUAGUAAUUUAAAUAAUCAGAAACAUUUAAAACAAAUUUAAAAUUGAAUAGUUUGUCACUGACAGACUAAGAGCAAAAUAAUUGCUUAAAACAAAGUGUUGGAUUCUAAGAAAACAAGAACCUACCAAAACCUGCAGCUAGAAAAAAAUUGUUUGUGUUAUAGUGAAUGCAGGGUGUUCUAUUCUGUAUUUGGACUAAAGGAUAUGUAUUAAAUUUUGUGAAAGAAAUAUGUGAUCAUGUUAAACUCAUAAAAAUUCUACCCCAAACAUUCCUGUGCUGAAUUCCAUCCCAGAAUUUUACAUUUUAAGAACAUUUAGGGAUGCCGGAAUUAGGCUGGAUUUUUUCAAUGUCAUUCCAUCAAGGCUGGACUAUUUACCAUGGUAAUUGGAAGAAAAACAUUAGUAUAUGAAAAAUUUAACAUCAGCUUCUUUUUACAAUUUAUGAUUAAAUAAGUUUAUCAUGGUAAUCAAUGCCUUUUUUUUGCAUGUUAUAUAGGAUUCAGAGACUGUUAUACGUAGCAGCUCCCUUUCCAAAUAGGGUUUACAGUUUUUGCAAGCCUGCGAUUAAGCUUGCGCAAGCUUAUACAUUAAGCUUGUAGUUAUACAUGCACAAGCUUGCGACUAAGCCUGUGCAGGCUUGCAGAUAAACCUGCGCAAGCUUGCAAAUAAGCUUGCGCAAGCUUACGAUUAAGCUUGCGCAAGCUUGCGAUUAAGCUUGCGCAAGCUUGCGA